rnacentral:rRNA from 1 species
GAUGAACGCUGGCGGCGUGCCUAAUACAUGCAAGUCGAACGAAUGGAUUAAGAGCUUGCUCUUAUGAAGUUAGCGGCGGACGGGUGAGUAACACGUGGGUAACCUGCCCAUAAGACUGGGAUAACUCCGGGAAACCGGGGCUAAUACCGGAUAAUAUUUUGAACUGCAUGGUUCAAAAUUGAAAGGCGGCUUCGGCUGUCACUUAUGGAUGGACCCGCGUCGCAUUAGCUAGUUGGUGAGGUAACGGCUCACCAAGGCAACGAUGCGUAGCCGACAUGGGAGGGUGAUCGGCCACACUGGGACUGAGACACGGCCCAGACUCCUACGGGAGGCAGCAGUAGGGAAUCUUCCGCAAUGGACGAAAGUCUGACGGAGCAACGCCGCGUGAGUGAUGAAGGCUUUCGGGUCGUAAAACUCUGUUGUUAGGGAAGAACAAGUGCUAGUUGAAUAAGCUGGCACCUUGACGGUACCUAACCAGAAAGCCACGGCUAACUACGUGCCAGCAGCCGCCGUAA